AGUUGGCAGCCCAGAUCACAGUUCUUCAACCAUUGAACAAGAGUUGACCACCCUUGAUUCAGAAAUGUCCCAGAAGUUAAUAGGGCUUAAGGAAAAGCAACAGCAACAGCUGCUUAAUCUUCGGCAAGAACAGUAUUAUAGUGAAAAGUACCAGAAGCAAGCACAUAUUAAAUUGCUCAUUCAGAAGUUGG